AGUGAACGCUGGCGGCAGGCCUAACACAUGCCAGUCGAACGGCAGCACAGUAAGAGCUUGCUCUUACGGGUGGCGAGUGGCGGACGGGUGAGGAAUACAUCGGAAUCUACUUUUUCGUGGGGGAUAACGUAGGGAAACUUAUGCUAAUACCGCAUACGACCUACGGGUGAAAGCAGGGGAUCUUCGGACCUUUCGCGAUUGAAUGAGCCGAUGUCGGAUUAGCUAGUUGGCGGGGUAAAGGCCCACCAAGGCAACGAUACGUAGCUGAUCUGAGAGGAUGAUCAGCCACACUGGAACUGAGACACGGUCCAGACUCCUACGGGAGGCAGCAGUAGGGAAUAUUGGACAAUGGGCGCAAGCCUGAUCCAGCCAUACCGCGUGGGUGAAGAAGGCCUUCGGAUUGUAAAGCCCUUUUGUUAGGAAAGAAAAGCAGCAGGUUAAUACCCCGCUGUUCUGACGGUACCCAAAGAAUAAGCACCGGCUAACUUCGUG
rnacentral:rRNA from 1 species